UACGUAGGGUGCGAGCGUUAAUCGGAAUUACUGGGCGUAAAGUGUGCGCAGGCGGCGUCGCAAGUCGAGUGUGAAAGCCCCGAGCUUAACUUGGGAAUUGCGCUCGAAACUACGAUGCUGGAGUGUGGCAGAGGAAGGUGGAAUUCCACGUGUAGCGGUGAAAUGCGUAGAGAUGUGGGGGAACACCGAUGGCGAAGGCAGCCUUCUGGGCCAACACUGACGCUCAUGCACGAAAGCGUGGGGAGCAAACAGG
rnacentral:rRNA from 1 species